GGAUUAGAUACCCUGGUAGUCCACGCCGUAAACGAUGAUCACUAGAUGUUGGAGCGACUUAGUUGCUUCAGUGUCGAAGCUAACGCGAUAAGUGAUCCGCCUGGGGAGUACGGUCGCAAGACUAAAACUCAAAGAAAUUGACGGGGGUCCGCACAAGCGGUGGAACAUGUGGUUUAAUUCGACACUACGCGAGAAACCUUACCUAGGCUUGACAUGUAACUGCUACCGAUAGAGAUAUUGGGUUUCGUGCUUGCACGAACGGUUACACAGGUGCUGCAUGGCUGUCGUCAGCUCGUGCUG
rnacentral:rRNA from 1 species